UACGGGGGGGGCAAGCGUUGUUCGGAAUUACUGGGCGUAAAGGGCUCGUAGGCGGCCAACUAAGUCAGACGUGAAAUCCCUCGGCUUAACCGGGGAACUGCGUCUGAUACUGGAUGGCUUGAGUUUGGGAGAGGGAUGCGGAAUUCCAGGUGUAGCGGUGAAAUGCGUAGAUAUCUGGAGGAACACCGGUGGCGAAGGCGGUCUGCUGGGGUGAUGCUGACACUGAUGCGCGACAGCGUGGGGAGCAAACAGG
rnacentral:rRNA from 1 species